GACGAACGCUGGCGGCGUGCUUAACACAUGCAAGUCGAGCGGUAAGGCCCUUUCGGGGGUACACGAGCGGCGAACGGGUGAGUAACACGUGAGUAAUCUGCCCUUCACUUCGGGAUAACCAUCGGAAACGAUGGCUAAUACCGGAUACGACGCAUCUUCGCAUGAAGUGUGUGUGGAAAGUUUUUCGGUGGAGGAUGUGCUCGCGGCCUAUCAGCUUGUUGGUGGGGUAAUGGCCUACCAAGGCUUCGACGGGUAGCCGGCCUGAGAGGGUGACCGGCCACACUGGGACUGAGACACGGCCCAGACUCCUACGGGAGGCAGCAGUGGGGAAUAUUGGACAAUGGGCGAAAGCCUGAUCCAGCAACGCCGCGUGAGGGAUGACGGCCUUCGGGUUGUAAACCUCUUUCAGCACCGACGAAGCGCCUUUUACGGUGGUGACGGUAGGUGCAGAAGAAGGACCGGCCAACUACGUGCCAGCAGCCGCCGUAAGAC
rnacentral:rRNA from 1 species